CCCGACGGUUCGCCUGCGGCCGCCUCCAACAACGGUGGAAACCGCACACAGGGACCGCGGGCCCUCGGUGCAGCAAAUCGGAAAGUGCUGCGGUCGGCGGCCCUGGGCUCUGAGCGCUCAAGCGAGCAGAGGGGUGGAGGGGCUCUCCCCACCCACAGGAGGCUCUCGGCGGGGCGCAGCCAAUUCUGCGCGCCCAAGGCUCCCCUCUGCCGUGGAUCGCGUGUGCCGAGUGUUGGCCUCUUCCCCGAAAGGGCCAGACGGACCAAGGGGGCCUUCCCAGCCGGCUGCAAGCUCUCAGACGCUAAAAUGGGAACAAAGCUUCCAGAAAGGCAGCGCCUUUGGGCGGCCGCGCCCCGCCCAGCCGCGGGGGCCAUUGAUACAGAGGCUUGCUGCGCUUGGUGUGCGCGGCCCGGCCGGGCCUCUGGAAACGCCCAUGAGAAAUGAGCUCAUGCUGGAUGCGCGCGCUCCUUGGGCGCAACUGCCCAGCGCAAAACGGGCCCCGAAAGCAGGUGAGUGGAGGACACUUCAAUCUAAAGUGAUCUUAAAGGAGGAGUAGUAGGAUUUGAAGAUGAAGAAAGAAGAGGGGAGGUAAAUUACUUUCCAUCACUUCAAUUUCAACCCAUCAGAUAAAACCUCUCUUUAGUAAACCUGCAUGUGGGUGGAGCUGUAACAGCAAUUAAGGACAGUGUGACUCUGUUCUUCUGACUUUGGGAAAACCAGUUUGGCUGGAACAAAAAGCUGAUAGAGAAGACUAAUGGAAGAUAAGGUUGAAAAGGUAGGUUUGAGGGAGCUUUGUUACAGGAAAAAAAAAAAAAAAAAACUGGGCUUUGUCCUGUAGACAGUGGAGAGGUACUUUAGCAGAUGUAAGACAUUACCAUUAUAGGAAAGCCUCUGAAGUAACAUACACUGUGGUUUUUCCUGUUGCUGAAAAUAUGCCCAGAGUAACAAGAUGUGGCAUAGUUGGUUAUGUGUCUUAUAACCA
rnacentral:lncRNA from 1 species